UUAAUGAGGGAAACGUUAAAAUAUGGAACCCAAUCUCAGACAAAUACAUAGAAAGGAGUAAGGGCCAACUCUCAUGCAUAAGGUAUCCCAUCCUAUAGCAAAUCAGAUAUAUAGGUACGCUUGAUGCCACAAAUUUUUUUAAAAAUUGUCCAUUUUGUUGCGUGUGCACCUCUUGCCAUAAAUUUGAGUCAGCACCAGCGACAGCUCUGCAGUCCUCCUAUGUGGUACUGAUCAGGUGGUUGCAGAGCUUCAGCUCACAGCAACACAAUGCAGCUGAGCAGGCAAGCACAGCCCACAGCCAGAAACAGUUCCGACUCUACAGAACAAGACGACCUUUAAGUUUCCCAGAGAAAAUGAGAUGCUGAUGUUGAAGACGACACCACGGUAAGAUGUUAUUUAAAUCAGUAAAAGGCUGACUUUGGAAUCUUUUUCCUUUUUCUUUUAAGAAAAAGUCAACGUUAGGAUUAAAUAUAUAUUCAAUAGCAAGUGCAUGCACCAGAAAUUUGCUGCAGUGUCAGUUGAGGGAUAUUUUUUAUACAUUCAGUCACUUUGUAAAUAUACAUAUUGUUUUCCUUUAAAAUGGGCACUGAAAUAUACAGAAAAAAAUCACUUUAUAAAAUGUGAGGUUUAUAGGUACUGUGUUGGUCUGGAUUUUUCAAGUGCUUUUUACAAAGAUAUAUUUAUCCUAAAAACAUACAGAUAAAAUUUCGAAGAACUGCUUUAAUAUCUAAAUAAAAUCUACCCUAUAUACACACAUUGAAUUACAUUACUGCAGAGAUUAAAAAAAAAAGACACGACAGCCAUUUUUUCUCAUCUGAGUAUGAAAGCAUAUCAUCAAAAAUAGUAAUAGCCUACAACUGCAACUAUUUAUUUGCAAAGAAUGCUAUUUUAUCAUAUUAAGGCUCUAGAAAGAUAAAUAAGAAAGAAUAUGGUUAGAAAAGGGGGGAGGGAGAGAGAAAAUAAAGGAGAAAAUGCAGGAGAGAGUAGGGAGAGAGUCUCUCUCUACCACAUAGCCCAAUUGAAGGAUUAAGCAUUUGGACUAUAAAUGAAGGGGAGCUUUGUUAGUUUAAUCACUGGAACAAUUAUAAAAGGACUCAACAACAACGAGGUUUAUUGAAAAUUUUGCCUAAUGCUAACUGACCCAUGCAGAUGCCUAAACUGUAUUUGCAUAUUAAAAGAAGGGUGUAUCUGUUUGUUUCUAGGCUUUGAUGGAAUAUCAGAUAUUGAAAAUGUCUCUCUGCCUGUUCAUCCUUCUGUUUCUCACACCUGGUAUUUUAUGCAUUUGUCCUCUCCAAUGUAUAUGCACAGAGAGGCACAGGCAUGUGGACUGUUCAGGCAGAAACUUGACUACAUUACCAUCUGGACUGCAAGAGAAUAUUAUACAUUUAAACCUGUCUUAUAACCACUUUACUGAUCUGCAUAACCAGUUAACCCAAUAUACCAAUCUGAGGACCCUGGACAUUUCAAACAACAGGCUUGAAAGCCUGCCUGCUCACUUACCUCGGUCUCUGUGGAACAUGUCUGCUGCUAACAACAACAUUAAACUUCUUGACAAAUCUGAUACUGCUUAUCAGUGGAAUCUUAAAUAUCUGGAUGUUUCUAAGAACAUGCUGGAAAAGGUUGUCCUCAUUAAAAAUACACUAAGAAGUCUCGAGGUUCUCAACCUCAGUAGUAACAAACUUUGGACAGUUCCAACCAACAUGCCCUCCAAACUACAUAUCGUGGACCUGUCUAAUAAUUCUUUGACACAAAUUCUUCCAGGUACAUUAAUAAACCUGACAAAUCUCACACAUCUUUACCUGCACAACAAUAAGUUCACAUUCAUUCCAGACCAAUCUUUUGACCAGCUCUUUCAGUUGCAAGAGAUAACCCUUUACAAUAACAGGUGGUCAUGUGACCACAAACAAAACAUUACUUACUUACUGAAGUGGAUGAUGGAAACAAAAGCCCAUGUGAUAGGGACUCCAUGUUCUACCCAAAUAUCAUCUUUAAAGGAACAUAACAUGUAUCCCACACCUUCUGGAUUUACCUCAAGCUUAUUCACUGUAAGUGGGAUGCAGACAGUGGACACCAUUAACUCUCUGAGUGUGGUAACUCAACCCAAAGUGACCAAAAUACCCAAACAAUAUCGAACAAAGGAAACAACGUUUGGUGCCACUCUAAGCAAAGACACCACCUUUACUAGCACUGAUAAGGCUUUUGUGCCCUAUCCAGAAGAUACAUCCACAGAGACUAUCAAUUCACAUGAAGCAGCAGCUGCAACUCUAACUAUUCAUCUCCAAGAUGGAAUGGUUACAAACACAAGCCUCACUAGCUCAACAAAAUCAUCCCCAACACCCAUGACCCUAAGUAUCACUAGUGGCAUGCCAAAUAAUUUCUCUGAAAUGCCUCAACAAAGCACAACCCUUAACUUAUGGAGGGAAGAGACAACCACAAAUGUAAAGACUCCAUUACCUUCUGUGGCAAAUGCUUGGAAAGUAAAUGCUUCAUUUCUCUUAAUGCUCAAUGUUGUGGUCAUGCUGGCUGUCUGAGGGUCUGCAUUUUCUGAAACUAAUGAAAGCACUCCUCCCUGAUGUACAGUUGGGAAAAUAUGUCCAUAUCUAACCAGUGAUUCGAGCUAUAUUUAAGUAUUCAAGAAAGCCAGUCUUAACAUUUCUGACUCUGAUGUAAAUGAAGUAACUUGUCUUAAAUAAAAGAAAUGCACAAUGUCUUGGUACUUGCUGCUAUUUUACUGUCUUAAUUAAGUAAACUAAUGAGUUUCUUUUAUAAAAAAAAAAAUGUUUUCUUUUAAGGCUUCAAUUUAUUGCACAAAAUAUAAAGCAUCUAAACUUUAAUAUGUAUUUUAUGUAUGUUUACACUGUCAAACAUCUGGAAAAUAAAAGGUCUAUGCUCAUAACUGUGUCAUUUGGCUUUCCAGUCAUACCAACUUUAGCAGAAUCAAAAUGACCUCACCAUUUUUGUUCUAGGA
rnacentral:sRNA from 1 species